CCUACGGGAGGCAGCAGUGAGGAAUAUUGGUCAAUGGGCGCGAGCCUGAACCAGCCAAGUCGCGUGAGGGAAGACGGUCCUAUGGAUUGUAAACCUCUUUUGUCGGGGAGCAAAAGACGCCACGCGUGGCGUUCCGCGAGUACCCGAAGAAACAGCAUCGGCUAACUCCGUGCCAGCAGCCGCGGUAAUCCGGAGGAUGCGAGCGUUAUCCGGAUUUAUUGGGUUGAAAGGGUGCGCAGGCGGAAGAUCAAGUCAGCGGUAAAAUUGAGAGGCUCAACCUCUUCGAGCCGUUGAAACUGGUUUUCUUGAGUGAGGGAGAAGUAUGCGGAAUGCGUGGUGUAGCGGUGAAAUGCAUAGAUAUCACGCAGAACUCCGAUUGCGAAGGCAGCAUACCGGCGCUCAACUGACGCUCAUGCACGAAAGUGUGGGUAUCGAACAGGAUUAGAUACCCCUGUAGUC
rnacentral:rRNA from 1 species